UAUUGAAAAAUAUCUAUCUUUUACAUCACUCAAGAUAAGAUCAAUGGUUUCUUUGGCACAAGAAUUGACAAGAUCUUUUUGAAUUGAAGGAGCUAUUAACUUUAAAUUUUCCGGAGCAUUUUCCAACACAACGGCCUUAACUUUUUCAUCAUGAUCCGCAAGAAAUUGCAAGAGCUCUAAAUAAUUCCCUUUAUUACUUGAUUGUGCACUUUCAUCAUGACCAAGAAAAGAAAGCCCUU
rnacentral:lncRNA from 1 species